AACGAACGCUGGCGGCAUGCCUAACACAUGCAAGUCGAACGAACCCUUCGGGGUUAGUGGCGCACGGGUGCGUAACGCGUGGGAAUCUGCCCUUUGCUUCGGAAUAACUCAGGGAAACUUGUGCUAAUACCGGAUGAUGUCUUCGGACCAAAGAUUUAUCGGCAAGGGAUGAGCCCGCGUAGGAUUAGGUAGUUGGUGGGGUAAAGGCCUACCAAGCCGACGAUCCUUAGCUGGUCUGAGAGGAUGAUCAGCCACACUGGGACUGAGACACGGCCCAGACUCCUACGGGAGGCAGCAGUGGGGAAUAUUGGACAAUGGGCGCAAGCCUGAUCCAGCAAUGCCGCGUGAGUGAUGAAGGCCCUCGGGUCGUAAAGCUCUUUUACCAGGGAUGAUAAUGACAGUACCUGGAGAAUAAGCUCCGGCUAACUCCGUG
rnacentral:rRNA from 1 species